GCGCGUGUAGCUCAGUUGGAUAGAGUACCUGGCUACGAACCAGGCGGUCGGAGGUUCGACUCCUUCCACGCGCACCA
rnacentral:tRNA from 2 species